rfam:Stegodyphus mimosarum contig33377, whole genome shotgun sequence.
GUCUUCGUGGUGUAGUUUUCAGCACACUCGACGCUUAACCGAGAGGUCCGUGGUUCGAUUCCCGGCGAGCGCA